AGGUGGGAGGAUUGCUUGAGCCUGGGAGGUGGAGGUUGCAGUGAGGCAAGAUCACACCACUGGACUCCAGCCUGGGCAACAGAGCCAGACCUGGUCUC
ensembl:miRNA